GAGCUUAAAGCUUUGCUUCUCUCUCUCUCUCUUGGCCAUGUCCGGCCAUGGCUGCCACCAUCCGAUCUCCCUCACCGGAGCCCCACUAGCCAAAUCCUUGCACCACCGGCUUCGCCUCCCUUCGGCGAGCCCAUUUUUCCCAUUUCCCCCUUCUCCCCCACCCCAUAGCAGCCACCACCACCACCUCUCUUUGUCGGUAAAGACGAGUGCUUUCCCUCGCCGUUCCGACCUCUUGCCUUACCCACUCUGCCACCACCCGACCUCCCCUGAUGCGCAACGAGCGGGAACACGCUUGGCCGCCGCCGUCGAGGCCGUUCCACCACCGGAGCAACGACGCCCAAUUCUCUCCCUCCUCUCUGUGUUCGGCAGGAAGAAAGGAAGAUGACGGGAGGAAGGAGGAGGAAAAUAAAAAGAAAAAGAAAGGCUGACAGUAGAGUUUAUUUUAUUUUGGAUGGCAACGUGUGGUAUUUCAAGGAUCGGAUAAUCAGGUUGCCUACCUUAGAUUUAUUCGCGUUGGAGCAAGGCAAGUUAUUAUUCCUCCCCUUUGAGCAUAAUGAUCCUAUAUUCUUAUAUCCCUAUUCUAUGCAUUAGUCAUACAUGAUUUCAAAUGCAUAACUUGAACAUAUAGCAAACCAGAUAUAUGCUAGAUUUUGCUUAGCCAUGGCUAGUUAGAUUGCAUAAAAUAUAAUGAACUUAGAUUGGAACAGUAUGGUAGAAAUGGUUGAUUUCCAGGUGGCUAGUACUGUUCCAACCGACAUAAGACUGCCAAGUACAUGUGAAGAACAUACGAGUAUGACCGCAAUUCUCGUAUGGGCAUAGACCUAGCUGAUUAAGUUAUCUAGCAAAGGUGGUGCCUCUGUGUAGUGGUUCUUAUUUAAGUCCUCGCGCAGGAGGCAAAUUUAUGCCGCGAAGGGCAAUAUUGUGAUAUUUACCGAGGCGCAGGUAAAUAUUUGUUUGAGAUAAAUUAUGAUGUCAUAUGACUUGUUUGUGAACCCUGAUUGCGAUGACGUGGUGUCAUACAAUCAGAUCUCUCUAAAGACCCCGGGAAUGCUAGAACUCCUCUCGCUGCUGAUAAUGUUACGUUCAGAGCGUAUGAGGAUUAUAGUUCAUGGAACAGGUACCACUGAUGUCAGUGAUCGAAAAGCUUUGCCAUGACAAGGCUAAUGUGUUUGGCACGUCAUGGAUUACGGGUAAAGCGUACAUCUAUUGCAGUAUGAAUAUUAUUAAAACUAUUCGAAUAGCCGUGCUCGCGGUUAUUGGGCAUUGGGACUCACAAUGGCAUCUUGGUUAGAAACAUAAUUCCAAAUUUUAUUAAAUACUGUUGCAUUUCAAACAUUAUAAGCUUUCUACCUCUGUAUUCUCAGCUUUCUACAAGUAAACCUAGCUCCAAUGAAAUACUACUAUUUCAUGCAUUCAUUGUUGAUUAAUAUAAUAGCAUGCUGAGUACGUUGUACUCACCCUUGCUUCAACCCCUCCUUUUCAGAGUCUAUUUUGAGUUUUUGCCAAAGCCGGGAGUUCAAUUAUAUAAGUUAGUUUCAUUGUAACUUAAUUUUAGUAUAGACUAGAUAGAUGGUUUAAGUCUAUAGCAAAACAUUAGAGUUAAGCCAUUCUAUAGCUUCUGCUGUAAUAGUUAGCCACAAUCUUGUAAACACCCUAUCAUUUUUAUGUAAAGAAAUCUCCUCUGGAAUCUUAUUCAAAUGUAUGCAAUGAAGAUCCAGAUUGUUGAACCUGUAUCAAUCUACUGAUCCAGGACUUGAUACAGUCUAAACAUGUCGGUUUCCGAAUCAUUAGUUUUGGGACCUGACAGGUAUGCACUAGUAUACUUACAUAGUUCAUCUCAUCCUCACUAAGUGUAAUUAAUGCUAUUUCUCUCUUCUCUCAUUAAUCCACAUCACCCUAAUUAUUUCUA